rnacentral:misc_RNA from 1 species
UUAGUUUAUUUAAAUAUUUUCAGAUUUAACAUGGUUAAAAGAGUUUGUUAAGGGCUAUUGACGAGCACUGGCCAGGGGUUCAAAAACUCCCGGCGGUCCUGUUAAAGACGGGCCCGCCAAAGCAACAUGGUAGUUAUACAAAGGGUUGGAGAUCGGGCCUGGAAGACCCUAACUCAUUAAUGAUCCUUCCGCAGGUUCACCUACGGAAA